AAAAGUGAAAGACGGUCUUGCUGUCACUUAUAGAUGGAUCCGCGCUGCAUUAGCUAGUUGGUAAGGUAACGGCUUACCAAGGCAACGAUGCAUAGCCGACCUGAGAGGGUGAUCGGCCACACUGGAACUGAGACACGGUCCAGACUCCUACGGGAGGCAGCAGUAGGGAAUCUUCCGCAAUGGGCGAAAGCCUGACGGAGCAACGCCGCGUGAGUGAUGAAGGUCUUCGGAUCGUAAAACUCUGUUAUUAGGGAAGAACAUAUGUGUAAGUAACUGUGCACAUCUUGACGGUACCUAAUCAGAAAGCCACGGCUAACUACGUGCCAGCAGCCGCGGUAAUACGUAGGUGGCAAGCGUUAUCCGGAAUUAU
rnacentral:rRNA from 1 species